AGGACGAACGCUGGCGGCGUGCUUAACACAUGCAAGUGGAGCGACGAACCGGGGCUUGCCCCGGGGCAGAGCCGCGAACGGGUGAGUAACACGUGGGUAACCCACCCCGAUGACCGGGACAACCCGAGGAAACUCGGGCUAAUACCGGAUGUGCUCCUUGACCUUGAGGUCAAGGCGUAAAGAUAGCUUCGGCCUUCGCAUCGGGACGGGCCCGCGGCCCAUUGGCUUGUUGGUGGGGUAAAGGCCUACCAAGGCAACGAUGGGUAGCUGGUCUGAGAGGACGAUCAGCCACACUGGGACUGAGACACGGCCCAGACUCCUACGGGAGGCAGCAGUGGGGAAUCUUGGACAAUGGGCGAAAGCCUGAUCCAGCCAUGCCGCGUGAGUGAAGAAGGCCUUAGGGUUGUAAAGCUCUUUUGGCGGGGACGAUAAUGACGGUACCCGCAGAAUAAGCCCGGCUAACUUCGUGCCAGCAGCCGC
rnacentral:rRNA from 1 species